CAGCCGCCGCGGGAAUACGUAGGGUGCGAGCGUUAAUCGGAAUUACUGGGCGUAAAGCGUGCGCAGGCGGUUUUGUAAGACAGGCGUGAGAUCCCCGGGCUCAACCUGGGAAUGGCGCUUGUGACUGCAAAGCUAGAGUGCGGCAGAGGGGGAUGGAAUUCCGCGUGUAGCAGUGAAAUGCGUAGAUAUGCGGAGUAACACCGAUGGCGAAGGCAAUCCCCUGGGCCUGCACUGACGCUCAUGCACGAAAGCGUGGGGAGCAAACAGGAUUAGAUACCCCCGUAGUCCCUGUCUCUUAUAC
rnacentral:rRNA from 1 species